GGUUCCAAUCGUUCGAGUGGCAGAGAUGAUACAACUUCCCGGAUAAUGACGUCAGUAAAUUUAUUCGCCAUUUUUCCUCAAUAAAUUUACGUUGACCGCUUGUAAUAUUUAUGCAGUUGGCAUCAGUUAGUACUGUAGCACUGCAAACAGAUAACUUAUAGCACCAUGUCUGCUCCUCAAAAUACUCAAUCAGUACCGGGUGGACCCCCAGCGUCCGGGUAUGGAGGAACAGCUGGCACAGGUGGACCCCCACAACAGCCAUAUCAGUCCAGUAAAAGGCUUCAACAGACACAAGCACAAGUGGAUGAGGUUGUCGAUAUCAUGAGAGUAAAUGUAGACAAAGUUCUGGAGAGAGACACAAAAAUCUCAGAGUUAGACGACAGAGCAGAGGCAUUACAGCAAGGAGCUUCACAAUUUGAAGCAAGUGCAGGGAAAUUGAAGCGAAAAUUUUGGUGGAAAAACUGCAAGUAUGGGCAGUGGAGGAUAACAAGUGAUGAGGAAGAGAAGAAAUAUUGGAAUAAGAAACAUUUUGUUGUAGAUAGUUGUUUACAGUCAUCUCAUCUCACUCUCCAUCUUACAAUCAUAAAACUAGAAAUAUGUAAUUGAUAUACAUGAAACAAAUUUGUACACAUUCCGUGAUCCUUGUUAGGGAUUUUUAAACUAAACAUAAUGCUUGUAGCAUGAGUUUUGUCCAUGCAAUAUAUGGUUAUUAUUUAUAUCUCUCUCUCUCUAUAUAUAUAUAUAUAUAUAUAUAAGAUAUAAUUAAGUAUUCUUGACUAUUGAUCUGUCAAGUGUCAUGAAAUAGUUGGAUCAUGGUUUUGCUAACAAUUUUGACAAUUUUACAUUUUCCCUUUGAAACACUGUUUUUGCCCUUAAAAGUGAAUUUAAGUUUUGCCAGAAGAACAUCAUGAUAUAUUACAAUAUUUGUACCAAGCAUAUAAACAGACUUUAGACAUAUAUAUUCCAUGACUAUUGUCACAAAGAACAUAUUAUCAAAGAAGAAUUAUUUAUUCAUGUCAGCAAAUCUUUUUAUUUAGUACAUGCAUAAUUCUUCAAUACUGUUAUAUUCAAUAGUGUUAGAUAACUCUUUAAUACUGUUAUAUUCAAUAGUGUUAGAUAACUCUUUAAUACUGUUAUAUUCAAUAGUGUUAGAUAACUCUUCAAUACUGUUAUAUUCAAUAGUGUUAGAUAACUCUUCAAUACUGUUAUAUUCAAUAGUGUUAGAUAACUCUUCAAUACUGUUAUAUUCAAUAGUGUUAGAUAACUCUUUAAUACUGUUAUAUUCAAUAGUGUUAGAUAACUCUUCAAUACUGUUAUAUUCAAUAGUGUUAGAUAACUCUUCAAUACUGUUAUAUUCAAUAGUGUUAGAUAACUCUUUAAUACUGUUAUAUUCAAUAGUGUUAGAUAACUCUUCAAUACUGUUCUAUUCUGUAGUGUUAGAUAUGCAUUUUUGCUGAGUAAUGGAGGAUAAUCAGAAUCAUAUUUUUAAUAUGCCAAAAUCUUUUAUGAUUACUCAAUUUAAACUUGACUGAAAAACUUGCUAAAUACUAAAAAGCGUUUCUUUUUAUGUUUUAGUUUUUCACACAAAUUAUGCCUGUAUGGCCAAAGAUAUAUACUCAACAUCUGAAGUAAAAAGAAUUAAACAGUUUUAUAAAUUAACAUUAACCAGAUCAUUUACUGAGCAAAAAAGUAAAAAAAUAAAUGAGGGAAGCUGAUCAAAUCAAUUUUAAAGCAGCAUCUUGCCAUCUACCCAACAACAAUGGUUGAAAGAUCUGACCAUUUUGUAAUGUUAUAAGUUAAUCAGAACAUUUUAAACAACUAUUUCUUUCGUGAAUGAUUUUUCUUGAUCUCUUAAUUUUGAAAUGACAAUUGAUCGUUAUUGAGGUUCUUCAUUAGGCUUUGAUGAAAGCAUUUUUUCAUUCCCAAGAUUAACCACAAAUUGUGCAUGAGUAUAGAGUCAUACUUGAAUAUUUGAUUGUGUGAUUACCAAGGCAAACCAUUGUGACUAUUGGAGAAUAUGAUAACCCUUGUCAAAGGCCAUGACUUGUUGAUUAUCUGUUUAAUUGGGUUGCUUACUUAAUUUAUGCGACUUGGUUGUGAUAGUAAUAGAAAGAUUUGAUAGUUAAAAUCACAUUUUGUUUGUAUUAUCAAGGUGUUUAAAAGUGCUGCUAAUUUGUCCUUCAAGGUAUAAAACAAAAUUCUGUUAUCAAUUUAAGCUGUCAAGCAGAAUAAUCUUAAAGAAAUAUAGAUACAAAUUAAAAUUAUUUCGAUAAAAGAGCAAAACGAUCUUGAUGAAAUGAAAUAUUGUUAUUAACAUAUAUGUAUGACUGGUUUAGAUUUUAUACUCUGGAAUCACCUUUUUUCCAUAGAUUAUUCAUUUAUUUAAUAUAAUUUAAUGAUUAUUUUUAAUAUAAAUUCUUGUAUUUUAUUUGAUGAAGCAAAAAUAAACACUUUUAAGAUGGGCAAAUAAGUUUGAGACUUUAUCAAAUUAAUAUAUAUCAUACAUUUUUAGUACAUGUGUUUCUAAGUUCUUGUUAGCUUAAGUGUGGUAAACACAAGUAAAGAUAUGAAUGUUAUAAUUUAUUGUAUGCUUACAAUUGAAAGUUUAUUGUUAAUUUUGAUGACAGAUUAUUUAUUGUUGAUCCAGUGCUUAUUAUAAUCAACCCUGUAAUUAUGUACAUUUAUAAUGGCUGUAUUUAUUUGCCUUAUGUUCAAUGCAAAUCUUUGCAUGUAAUUUGUGCAAGGAAUAUAUCAUGUCCUUAACCAAUCUUGGUAUCUUCAACCUCUUUAAUCCUUGGAUCUAUCCUGUUAUUUCUUUUUUUAUUUUAAAUUUGCAUAACAUUUGUGCAACUAUAAGGGAUUAAAAGAAACAAUUUUGCAGGGAUAAAAGUAAUAUUAGUAGUAUUAAAAUAAAAUAUUUUUUUCCAAAUCAACAUUUAAUAUAUCUGUAUAAUUCACAGUAAAAAAACAUAUUGUAGAACAUUUUCUUUCAAAAGUAAGUAUAUAUGAUGAAUGUGGAGGAAAUGAAAUUGGACUUUAUUGAAUGCUGAAACAACAUGUUUCUCAUUCUCCACUAUUGUAUAUAGUAUGUUAGAAAAACUCAUUCACAGAAAUCCUUUGAAACCUUGAACAUGUAUUGAAAAGAUGAACAUAUGAUAUGUCAAGCUGUGUGCUUUUUAUCAUUGAGCAAAUAAUGUCCAUUUGGAAUCAUAUAUAUAUUAGAAGUUAAAUUGUAUAUGAUGUUUUAUGGAGAGACAUUAAUGAUGUAAAACCAUUAUAUACAAGUUAUUAAUAAGAAAUGACCCUUUUUUGAUUAUAGCUAUUGGAAGAAUAAAUGACGAAUGUACAGAAUGUUUGAGGAAAAUAUUUAAGACACAAAUAUCUGUUUUAUUUAGUCUGGACUCACUCAAUGGCAAAAUGUUUCUCUUCCAAGAUAUACAAGAUAUUUCUCACAAAAUUUAAAAAAAAAAAUACAUGACUGGUUAGUUUAAACAUAUUUUAUUGUUCAAAAGACAAAUGGAUUAGACACUAGUUUUUGUCAACCUGACAAGUUGAAGUUUAUACAGCAGUCAUUCAGAAUGUCUGUCGGACAUCAGCAAAUUUCUUCUAAGAAUUUGAUUAAAAGCAAAAAUUAAUAGAACCUUUAAAUUACAUCUGUUAAUGUUAUUUAAGGAUGUACUUAGGUCAGGUUUAGGAAUUUUUGUCAGAUUUUCGGACUCCUUGGUUUUUUUCCUACGGUACAGGGUAAAAUAAUUUGCCCCAUAACACCCAUUUUUCUUUUCAUAUAAGACUUCAAUAGCUCAUAAAAGGUCAUUUACCAAAAUUUAAGCAGAUUCUAAAUACAUUCUUAAAAACAUUUAAUGCAGAACAGACUGAGUUUCCAGUAAAAAUAAAUUACCACCUAAAUCACUGCAUUAAUGAAAAUAAAAGUAGAUAGUGAAACUAGGGAUUACAUUUAUCAGGUCCAGUCAUUAGGAUGGUGCAAUGUUAUUUAGUAGAAUUUUUUCUUGUCAGUCCCACUUCAUUUAAUCACAUCGUCAGCAUAGAGUGUAUGUAUAUUUACUUUUAAAAGAAUUACAUGUACAUGUAUAUCACUAGGAUAAUUUUGUAGUAGGUAGCAUAUUCCUGUUCUAUUUAUUUUCAUGUAAAUUUUUAAGUGAGGAUUUGAACGUUCCUGAUUAUCAUUCCAAAUGUAAAUUUGUAUGAAUGUGAUUAUUUUGAAUGUACUCUGAAAAUGAUUCAACUGUUUUGUUUUGUUUUUCCUUAGUUUUUGCAAAUAUUUUAGAUAUUUUUAUUCUUCAUACAGAGUUGAUUAACUGUAUGCGUGAUACUUAACUGUUCAGUUCUAUGAUAGAGAAAAGGUAUCUGUUAAAAAUUUGAAUGUAGAAUUAAUCUCAAAAUUUGAGGGUUUUAUUUAUAUUUGAUAUUAAUUUUGUUAAUUUCUUGGGUACGGACAGUGCAGAUGAUUCUACAAAAUGUAGAUUUUUUCAUUUGCCUUUAAUAUAAGCAGAACAAAUACUAUAAGUGAAGUACCAUUCAAAAAGAAAAUUUGUUGUCCAUGUAUUGUACAGCUGCAGGGGAAUGGACACAAGGAUGAAUAAAGCUUCUAAAAUGUCUAUCUUUCCUAUUUGAGAGGGGACAUUUAAUGUUUCUUUAGGUUUUUGUCGAGUGUGCAACAUUUGUCGCAAAAGUGAGACAUAGCGAUCCUACAUUCCGUCGGCGGCGGCGGCUGCGUCCACAAAUAUUCACUCUGUGCUUAAAGUUUUUGAAAUUUUAAUAACUUUCUUAAACUAUCCUGGAUUUUUACCAAACUUGGACAGAAGCUUGUUUAUGAUCAUAAGAUAGUAUCCAGAAGUAAAUUUUGUAAAAAAAACAUCCUGUUUAUCCGUAUUUUACUUAUAAAUGGAAUGAGUUUUUCUGCCAAAUAACAUUACAUUCACUCUGUGGUUAAAGUUUUUUUAAAUUUCAAUAACUUUCUUAAACUAUCAUGGAUUUCUACCAAACUUAGACAGAAGCUUGUUUAUGAUCAAAAGCUAGUAUCUAGAAGGAAGUUUUGUAAAAAUUUAUUUCCUGUUUUUCCGUAUACUUCUUAUAAAUGGACUUAGUUUUUCUUCCAGUUAACAUAACUUAAAUACAGUCUGCAGUUAAAGUUUUUAAAACAUUUAUUAGAUUCAUAAACCAUCCAGGUUUUUUUACCAAACUUGGAUAGAAGCUUCUUACAAUCAAAAAGAUAGUAUCUAGAGGAAAAUUUUUUAUAAUUUUUUCCCCAUUUUUGUUGAGCCUGCGACUAACAGCAAAAGUAGGCGAGACACUGGGUUCCGUGGAACCCUUACGAAUUUUUCUUAAUGAAUAACAAAGGCAGAUUGGUAUUCAGUGUUAUACAAAAAAAAAGUGACAAAAACUUGUGUGGCAAUGGGUUGACUUGCCCUCUGUGACCAUGGGUUGACCUGCCCCCUUUGGGGCCAUUUAUUGACUUGCCCCUUCGGUUUGGCUAUGGUUUGACUUUCAUCCCUUUGUGUGGCCAUGGGCUAGCUUGCCCCCUUUGGGUGACAAUAAGUUGCAUUUCCACCUUUGUGUUAAUGGCCAUUGGUUGACUUGCUCUGUUUGCAGCCAUGGGUUGACUUGCUCAGUUUAUGAAGAUGGGUUAACUUGCUCUAAGUGUGGCCAUCUGUUGACUUACUCCGUUUUUGGCCAAGGACUAACUUGUUCUGUUUUUGAGCAGGUGAUAAAGAGCAAAAUCCAAAAGCUGUAAUGUACAAUAACAAACAAAUUUAAUCCAAUAUCUGCUGAAAGAAAUUGAAAAGAGUGAAUUAUUUGUCUUUGGUUACUGACAUUGAUGAGUACUUUGUUGUUGAUUAUGUAGAUUUUGUUAUACAUGUCCUGUAUAUUGUGAUUAAAGCUGUAUAUAAGCGUGGCCAUCUGUUGACUUACUCCGUUUUUGGCCAAGGACUAACUUGUUCUGUUUUUGAGCAGGUGAUAAAGAGCAAAAUCCAAAAGCUGUAAUGUACAAUAACAAACAAAUUUAAUCCAAUAUCUGCUGAAAGAAAUUGAAAAGAGUGAAUUAUUUGUCUUUGGUUACUGACAUUGAUGAGUACUUUGUUGUUGAUUAUGUAGAUUUUGUUAUACAUGUCCUGUAUAUUGUGAUUAAAGCUGUAUAUAAGCGUGGCCAUCUGUUGACUUACUCCGUUUUUGGCCAAGGACUAACUUGUUCUGUUUUUGAGCAGGUGAUAAAGAGCAAAAUCCAAAAGCUGUAAUGUACAAUAACAAACAAAUGUAAUCCAAUAUCUGCUGAAAGAAAUUGAAAAGAGUGAAUUAUUUGUCUUUGGUUACUGACAUUGAUGAGUACUUUGUUGUUGAUUAUGUAGAUUUUGUUAUACAUGUCCUGUAUAUUGUGAUUAAAGCUGUAUAUAAGCUUCA